GCCCUUGGUUGGAAGGGAUUUACAUACAGAUUGAAUGUCAGGUGAAGUUUGUGAGAUGGAAAGGGAAUUUGAACAUAGGUGGGGAUUGGCUGGAGGAGGCAGGGGCUUCUAGGUGAAAAGACAUUUCUCAAGACACUCUUAACUCUCAAGACACACUUCCACUGGCAUUCCUGUGGGUCUGGUUCGAGCAGAGGUCUGGAGAACACUGACUACCAGGGCACCACAACUGCUCCCAUAUGCUGAUCCAGAAACUUCCUCAGAAUGAAACAAUGUCUCAGUUUCAAGGACACUGCUUCCAGCACAAUAGAAGACAGCUACAAUAAAUUAUUUAAAAAGAGA